rnacentral:rRNA from 1 species
GACGAACGCUGGCGGCGUGCUUAACACAUGCAAGUCGAACGGAAAGGCCCUGCUUUUGUGGGGUGCUCGAGUGGCGAACGGGUGAGUAACACGUGAGUAACCUGCCCUUGACUUUGGGAUAACUUCAGGAAACUGGGGCUAAUACCGGAUAGGAGCUCCUGCUGCAUGGUGGGGGUUGGAAAGUUUCGGCGGUUGGGGAUGGACUCGCGGCUUAUCAGCUUGUUGGUGGGGUAGUGGCUUACCAAGGCUUUGACGGGUAGCCGGCCUGAGAGGGUGACCGGCAAAAUGGGGACUGAGAUAGGGACCAGACUCCUACGGGAGGCAGCAGUGGGGAAUAUUGCACAAUGGGCGGAAGCCUGAUGCAGCAACGCCGCGUGCGGGAUGACGGCCUUCGGGUUGUAAACCGAUUUCGCCUGUGACGAAGCGUGAGUGACGGUAAUGGGUAAAGAAGCACCGGCUAACUACGUG